UACGGAGGGUGCAAGCAUUGAUCGGAAUUACUGGGCGUAAGGGCGCGUAGGCGGUCAGAUAAGUCAGAUGUGAAAUUCCGGGGCUCAACCCCGGAGCGGCAUUUGAAACUGUAUGACUAGAGUACAGUUAGGGAAAACGGAAUUCCACGUGUAGCGGUGAAAUGCGUAGAUAUGUGGAAGAACACCGGUGGUGAAGACGGUUUUCUGGGCUGAAACUGACGCUGAGGCGCGAAAGCUAGGGGAGCAAACAGG
rnacentral:rRNA from 1 species